CCCUAGUCCAAAUAGAAAGGAAAAUCCUUUUGUGUCCUCCGCGGCGGACAUAAAAGAUUGGAAUGAUAGCAGGAAAUAGC
rnacentral:sRNA from 1 species